rnacentral:lncRNA from 1 species
AAAAGGGUCGACGGCGAUCUGAUGCGCGUACUACGCACACGGCCAUGGUUGUCGCCGCGGUGGCGGCCGCAGUCUGCCAAGCGCACAACGUUGAGCGGCGCCGGGUCGGCGGCAGCAAAGUAAUCCACAUCAACCACGUCGCCAAAGCGCCCCAUACAAAGGGGAUCGUCUGUACAGGACGCGCCGACGGCACGACGGUACAGUUGGCGCAUCGACGGCGGGUCAAAGACGACGGCAGCGGCCCAUCGACAGGCCAUUCCCAUGCGCGCCACGUCGACGGCAGAGCAGUGCGACAAGAUGGCGAGUGCAAUCUCGGCGGGCAGGUCAGUGAGGCCGAUGGCAUCGUCGUCCGUCGUGCCCGCAACGUCGGCGGCAUUGGAUGUGCGUUGACGCUUGGCGCCACGACGGCGUUUGCCAGGCUGUCCGCCCCGUCUCUUGCACGAUGGCACCGCCGUCUCCCCGUCGUUUGGUUGGCGGUGUGGGUCGUCGCCGUCGAUGACCGGGUCGGCCGGUGACGGGAUCUCGGUUUCCAUGCGUUGUUCUGUAGGGUGUCCCUUUGCCCUGUGCUUUUCCAGUGUUUUCUUCUCCCUCCCCCUCCCUCUCCGGUGUGCUUGGCGAGUUUAAUAUGGCGUCACCGCUUUGGUGCGUCUUGUGCCGGCAGCGUAUGGUCCGUCCGUUUUGUCUUUCUUUUUUCUUCCUCCCCUACUUUUCGAUA